AUGGCGAGUGCAUCGUUAUUCAGUAAGUUAAGCUAUGGAUUUCAGUUGGAGGAGGAAGGUCGUUGGACUGGCCUUUUUCACACCCGUGUGGUAGUGAGAGAGAGAUCAUGUGCUAUGACGAUCGAUCACAUGAAUUUGAUCAACGCAGCAAGCAUCGAGAUGGUGAAGAAGCUGGAGAUACCAAUAACAGCACAUCCAAAACCAUACUUUUUCCGUUGGGGUCAUGAAGAGCUCACUGUCACGCACCAAACUAAGGUACCGUUUUUGUUGGGAAAAUUCUUUUGCGAGGUUUUGUGCGAUGUGAUUCCAGCGCCGAUGGUUUCGUGCCACUUGUUGUUGGGUGAGCCAUGGUACAAAGAGCAUGAUGUAGUGUAUGAUUAUCACACACACACAUAUACUGUCAAGAAGGGUAAAAAGUGCAAUCUUGUGCCCAUGGAUGAGGAGCGUUUCAUUACAUGGAGGAAAGAACAUCUUGAGAAGAUAAAAAAGCAAGAAGAAGAAGAAAGGAAGAAGGCCGAAGCUGCUGCAAUUGUUACUAUCGUCGUCGUUCAGUCUGCAAAUAAAAUUAUUGUUGAGAUCAACUCGAAACCGAGGACGGUUUCGUUUCAAGGAGGAGAGGAUGAUAUGGCCGCGUGUAAUUUAAGUGCGAUGAUCACUGUUGAUACAACAACGUAUUCAUCUAGUACUGAAUAUGCUACAGAUGUUUUUCAAGAUGAAGAUGGAUUUGUAGGCAUCACAUCUAAGCGUGACACAGUUGUACAAAUAAUGAGCAAGUAUGGAGUUAUGUUUCUAUAUUCCCCUAAAUCAGGACGUGAAGGAGCACACAUGCAUGGGUGUGGGUCCAGCCAAAAGUCAAUUAGAAGCCAUCAAGUUGUGUACUACGUGGAUGUGCAAGAGUUUAAUUCCUUCUCAAAGGGAAUAAAUCACGUUAGUUAUUUCUUUGGACGGUUACAGCCACCUGAACGACCAAAAGUUACACGCAGAUGGAAGUUUAUCACGUGGAAGAUCAUGAGUUUAAAUGAGUCUGGGUGGGGGCCGCCAUGUUGGAAAAAAUAG
rnacentral:rRNA from 1 species